rnacentral:rRNA from 1 species
GAUGAACGCUGGCGGCGUGCUUAACACAUGCAAGUCGAACGAAGCACUUUAACCUGAUUCUUCGGAUGAAGGUUUUUGUGACUGAGUGGCGGACGGGUGAGUAACGCGUGGGUAACCUGCCUCAUACAGGGGGAUAACAGUUAGAAAUGACUGCUAAUACCGCAUAAGACCACAGAGCCGCAUGGCUCGGUGGGAAAAACUCCGGUGGUAUGAGAUGGACCCGCGUCUGAUUAGGUAGUUGGUGGGGUAACGGCCUACCAGGCCAACGAUCAGUAGCCGACCUGAGAGGGUGACCGGCCACAUUGGGACUGAGACACGGCCCAAACUCCUACGGGAGGCAGCAGUGGGGAAUAUUGCACAAUGGGGGAAACCCUGAUGCAGCGACGCCGCGUGAGCGAAGAAGUAUUUCGGUAUGUAAAGCUCUAUCAGCAGGGAAGAAAAUGACGGUACCUGACUAAGAAGCACCGGCUAAAUACGUG